AUCAAUGCUGCGUAGCUCCGCCACCUCCACAGGACUGCGUGCAUCCCAUGUGCUUGGAAGUGCGGGUGCGGGAGAGCGAGAAAGAGAAAAGAGAGGGAGAGCAAACCGCACCCAAACCCCUUUUGAAGAGACACCGCUGCGUUUUGUCACAUAAAUGCUAAGAGAACGAAUUGACACAGACGACGCAAAAACAACGGGGUUAUACGAUGCCAAGAAGGAAGGAAGGAGAGGAAGGGCGAGCGGCAAGGGCGAAGGAGAGGAAGAGCGAGCGGCGAGAGAGAGAGAGAGAGAGAGAGAGAGAGAGAGAGAGAGAGAGAGAGAGAGAGAGAGAGAGAGAGAGAGAGAGAGAGAGAGAGAGAGAGAGAGAGAC